AGAGUUUGAUCCUGGCUCAGGAUGAACGCUGGCGGCGUGCCUAACACAUGCAAGUCGAACGGGGCCGCGUAAGGGGAGGGGAAGGCUUGCCUGACCCGAACCGGACGCGGCCUAGUGGCGGACGGGUGAGUAACGCGUGGGCAAUCUGCCCCGUACCGGGGGAUAACACCUGGAAACAGGUGCUAACACCGCAUGACAGGCGGGGGCGCAUGCCCCGGCCUUGAAAACUCCGGUGGUACGGGAUGAGCCCGCGUCCGAUUAGCCAGUUGGCGGGGUAACGGCCCACCAAAGCGACGAUCGGUAGCCGGCCUGAGAGGGUGGACGGCCACAUUGGGACUGAGACACGGCCCAAACUCCUACGGGAGGCAGCAGUGGGGAAUAUUGCACAAUGGGGGAAACCCUGAUGCAGCGACGCCGCGUGAGUGAAGAAGCGCCUCGGCGCGUAAAGCUCUGUCAGCAGGAACGACGAUGACGGUACCUGAAGAAGAAGCCCCGGCUAACUACGUG
rnacentral:rRNA from 1 species